GGCAAGAUGGCCGAGUGGUCUAAGGCGCUACGUUUAGGUCAACUACUACCGUAGUCCGAAAGGGCGUGGGUUCAAAUCCCACUCUUGUCA